AUUUGGGGCUGGGUCGGCGGGGGCAGGGGCUCCUGGUGAAAAGGUGACAGGAAGCUGCCCCCGCUCGAGAGCCGGUGGUUGGGGGUCUGAGAAGUCACCACCAUGAGGUUGUUCAGCUUCGGGAGCCGCAGGCGCCAGAUGGUCCUGGGCUCCAUAGACCACGACUACACGGGUUGAGGGUACCGAAUCUGGGAGGCCAAACUGCAGAAGAUCCACAGGGCGGCUGUCAAGGGUGACGCGGCGGAGGUGGAGCGCUGCCCCGCCCGCAGGAGCGGAGACCUGGACGCCCUGGACAAGCAGCACAGAACUGCUCUACAUUUGGCCUGUGCCAGUGGCCAUGUGAAAGUGGUCACUCUCCUGGUUAACAGAAAAUGCCAGACUGAUAUCUGUGACAAAGAAAACAGAAUGCCUUUGAUACAGGCAGUCCAUUGCCAGGAAGAGGCUUGUGCUGUUAUUCUGCUGGAACAUGGUGCCAAUCCAGACCUUAAGGAUAUCUAAGGCAACACUGCUCUCCAUUAUGCUGUGUACAGUGAGAGCACCUCACUGGCAGAAAAACUGCUUUCACAUGGUGCAAAUAUUGAAGCACUGGACAAGGACAAUAAUACCCCACUUUUAUUUGUUGUAAUUUGCAAGAAAGAGAAAAUGGUAGAUUUUUUAUUGAAAAACAAAGCAAAUGUACAUGCCGUUGAUAAGCUGAGAUGAACAACCCUCAUGCUUGCUGUGCACUAUGACUCACCAGGCAUUGUCAACAUCCUUCUUAAGCAAAAUAUUAAUGUCUUCACUCAAGACGUGUAGACGAGAGGCAGAAGGUUAUGCUCUUUCUCGUGGGUUGACAAAAUAAGGAAUUAAACAACAAAUUUUGGAACAUAAAAAGAAGAUACUUAAAAAUGGUAAUCCAGAUGUUGGAAGUGCUGAUGAAUCUGCAAUUAGCAUUUUCCGUGAUCUGUGUGUGGAUUCAUUGCCUGCAUCGGAUGAUGAAGACUUGAGUGUUUCUACUAAGCAGUGUGUCCCCGAGAAAGUGUCAGAGCCUUUACCUGGACUUUCCCGUGAAAAGGGAAACAGAAUAGUCAAUGCAAAAGGAGAACAGCCUCCUGCAAAACAUCCUUCCUUGAAGCCUAGCACUAAAAUGGAAGAUCCUGCUGUGAAAGGAGCAGUACAAAGAAAGAAUGUUCAGAUAUUGAGAGCAGAUACGUUUUCAAUACAAAUGGAAUGCUGGAAAAGAAAUACACAUGCUCUUGGAGGCUUCUCUACCUCUUUUGAAGAAGACUUACUAGUGGCUUCAGAGGAAGAGCGAGAAAGGCUUGAAAGAAGUGAAAAGAAGCAACCACAGGUAUAUAAAAAUUUAAGUUUCUUGUCUAAUAUUGGUUUUUUUUUUUGCUUUAAUAACAAAGUUUGGACAUCCACUUACAGUAACCUUGUUAGUAAAGAUAAAUCCCGUAAGACAAGAGAUACUCUCAGAAAAAAGUCAUUGGCUUUAGAAACUGUACACAAUGACCUAAGCCAAACACAGCAGCAAAUAAAGGAAAUGAAAGAGAUGUAUCAAAAUGCAGAAGCAAAAGUGAGUAAAUCCACUGGAAAGUGGAACUGUGUAGAAGAGAGGAUAUGUCAACUCCAACGUGAAAAUCUGCGGCUUGAACAGCAACUAGACGAUGUUCAUCAGAAAGAGGAUCAUCAAGAGAUAGUAAUUAAUAUCCAAAGAGAUUCUAUUGAGAGUGGAAAGAAAGACCUCCUGCUAGAAGAGAAAAAUAAUAAGCGAAUGAAUGAAUAUAAUCAUUUAAAAGAAAGUGUCUUUCAGUAUGAGAAAGAGAAAACAGAAAGAGUAGUGUCAAGGAAGAUAAAUACUUUCAAACUUCUAGAAAGAUAAUUUAAACAUUUGGUUCUGGAUACAUGUUGAACCUAGUUGAAUAUAAAAAUCAAUAGAUAAAAUGUGUGUUUACCAUACUGUAUAAUUCCAUUUACAUGAAACAUCUAGAAAAGAUAAAUGUAUAGGGACAAAAAGUAGAUUAAUGUUUACAAAGGGUGGGGCUGGAAGCUGGUAGUGACUGCUAAUGGGUAGGAGGGAUCGUGCAGUGAUGGAAAUGCUCUAAAGUUGGAUUGUAGAGAUGGCUGCACAACUCAGUAAAUUUACUAAAAAUCUUUUAACUUUAUGUUAAAACAAAUUCUAUAGUAUGUAAAUUAUAUUUCAAUAAAGCUUUUUAAUAAAAAAAAAGAAAAAAUGUGUUUAUUGUAUCAGCUUAGAAACAUACCUUGCUUCCAGGAAAUAAAAGGUGGAGCUGAGAGAUGAUUUACUUUGAGAAAAGACAUUGUGUCACCUAUGAAAUUUUAUUAGGCACAGAGUCAUAUUUUAAGGUAGAUAGUCCUGUGCUGCUGAAGCAAUAAUUUUAAUGUCUUUAUGUUGCCACAUGUUAAGACCAUGAUGAAGGUAUAAAUGGAAAUGUUUACACCUGAAAUGAGUAUUUUCAAAUUAAAAUUUAAGUAAGUGA